UCCCGAUUUUUUUUGUUAAUUUUUCACAGUGCAAGAAAAGACCUUUAAAUUGCUGAAGGAGAUCAAACUCAAACUGGAAGCACUGGAGAAUGCUAUGGAGAGCUUGCAAAACUCUACUGAACCUAACCGUACAGCGGCAGAUCCUAUUGAUGGUGCCCUGCUUGAUUUGCUUCCCUUGGCCGUUCACAGUGACCUGGAGGAACUUGAGCAGUAUCUUCGCACACCGAAAAAUAGGACUGAUCUAGUGGCUCACUUCUCUCGGUUGGGAGGUUCUUCUCUUCAGGAUGCCUUACGCCAGCUGAUGAGGAGAUAUAUGGCAGAUGUCUUGGCGCAAGAUUUUUCCCUAACGGGGAGAAAAGGCAAACUUCCGUUUAACGCUUUGCAGCUCCUCCAGGUCAUUACUGAGACAUUGCAAAAAGCAUUUGCAACAGCAACAGAGG
rnacentral:lncRNA from 1 species